GGCAACAGUGCAGAACCAAGGGGAGAGGGGAUUCAUUGAAUUGUGGUUGGCAGGAGCAAGCCCUGCUCACACUCUCACACUCGCACCCAGAAUUGUCAAAGAUACAGAUUGUAAAAAUCUACGAUCCCUCAGUCUCACUCACAAAAAAUAAAAUCUCAUGUCCCCAACGAACCCAGAGUCAGACGACAGCUGGAGCAUUGGCAGGGACAGUCAGAAAGGAGACAAGUGAAAACGGUCAGAUGGACACAGGCGGAGGAGAAAAGACAGAGGGAGAGAGACCAUCGGGAACAAUCAGAGGGGCCGAGACGAUCAGAAAAGGGUCAGCCCGAGACAGGCUGAGCCAGAGUUUCUAGAAGCAGUUUCCAAUUCAACGGCUCGCUUUGAGGGCCAACGUGACCUAGGCCGAGGCUGCAGAAGCGCUCACACACUCACGCGCACGCACACACACACAUCCAUAUAUAAUAUAUUUACUUAUACAUAAUAGAUAUAAUUGCCUUUCGGAAACCAGGAAAGGGAUAAAUAGCUAAGGAAUGGGUCUGGGAUCAGGAUGGGAGACGCGCGACAAGGGGCACGUGGAAUGUUUUUCAUGCAGCACGGAUGGAGGGCGGCGUGGUCCACCCCCCGAUAUUAAAAAAUAUAAAUUUGCCUCAUAAAGAAAUCCUCAUGAGAUGAAGCGCAGGGAACGGCGGGGUGGGAGAGCCAAAACCAUGGUCAGGGAUGGGCGGACUCGGGCAUGGAAUCAUGAGAUUCCAGCCCCUUGAGUCUGCCAGUCCAAAAAUAUUGGGGGUUUGGGGGUACCAAAGCCUCAGCUCUGAAAUCUUCUCCGGAAAAAUGUCACAGCCCCUCACUCCCUUCCUGGAGAGGAUGUGAGGGGCCAAGGGGUGGGAGAAGUUGGCGUCCUAGGCUGGGGAUUGGUCGGGGGACCUUAAAGAAAAAGGCCAGGGCUGAGGGUCCUGAGGAGAGAGAGAGAGGCCACGUGGAUGGAGGACUGUCACCCCCUUCUCGGUUCUGUCACCCCCUUGAGUCUAACUCACUGUUGAGGGGAGGAAGAAGGGGGAUGGACGGAAGGGAGACCGAGGAAAGGCUUUCGGGAGUGGGGACAUUAUCCCCCCAGAGGUGUGCUGCCCCACCCAGCUGCACCCCACAAUCUGGCCAACUCAUUUCACAGUAUAAAUCACUCCAGCAGGACGGCAUCACAGCAGCCCCUGCUGCCUGAAAUCAGAGCGGCCCAACGAGGAAGGCCAGGAGGGUCGGCUGGCAGGGGGCAGGGUCUUGGGAUAACACUGUCAUCAGAAACAAGGCUGGGGGCUGAUUUCGGGGUGGGGAGCCUUAGGAGGCCAGAAAUUCCAAUCAGAGCCAGUUUUUCUGGGAGGGAGUGGCUAGACAGUCAAGGAAGGACGUUCACAUUUCAAAAGAAGUCGGGUGGGGGGAUGAGAUUAUUCUAGGGGGGCAUCGAAUUCCCUUUAAGGGGGGGGCUCACUUCUGCCCAGAGUAAAGAGGAUCUCACACCAUGGAAAUGUGGGAUCAAUAAGCUAAGGUCGGGAGUGCAGGGGAAACCAACCUAGGCACCCCAAAAAAAGGGUGGGUGUGGGAGACAUUGGGUAGGGAGUGGCAUUUUUCCUUGUUGAGCCUCUCUGGAGAGGACUCCAGCCCACCCCACAGCCUACCUCCCACCCCCGUCCCUUAAUCCUCACACAGGACUGCCCGAAGGUGGGCGUCACCCGCCCCCCUCCCCACCCAUCCCCAGAGCUUGGGUUGACGUCAGAGAGCCAACAGUCAGCUGGGGGUGUCCAUCCCCUUCCCACCCCCUGUCCCCAAAGUCACCAGCUCUCCGGCCUCGCCGGGGCACAGAAACAAGAGGCAGGACAAAACACAAGGAAUCCUCCUGUCCGAUGGCAGUGGCGCAGUGGCCGCAGAGGGUCAGACGGAGGAGCCAGGGAGGCCACACACCCACUUUGUCUCUUCCCCUCUCUCUCCUCCU
rnacentral:lncRNA from 1 species